UAUUGUCUUUGCUUAGUGUUGUAUAUGAUUAUUAAAUUUGGAUUUUUUUUUUUUAUUUUUUAAUGAUUAUUCAAGAUUCAUGGCACUAAUUUUGUGAGCUUUUUUUUAAUAUUCACCUGCAUGGCUGUUUUUUUUGUUUGUUUUUUUUUUGUUUUGUUUUAUGUUUUGUUUUUGUUUUUAGAUCCAUUCAAAUUGAUUGCUUCUCACAUUUCAGAAAACAAGCCAGGCCAGACAGAGAGUGAGACAGAGAAAUAAAGAGAGAAAGAAAUGAAAUGAAAGGACGAUUGGCCUUUUAGCAUAGAAAUGCUGAAUCACAGGUAUGAUGUGGUUGUUGGUAUGAAGCCAUAAUAUCUGUAAUAAUAACCAACAACCAUGUCUUUUGAUCUGGUUAUAGAUUUAUGAAGGAGCCCAUAUGUAAUUCUCAUUGACAAAUAAGUAAUCAUUAAUCUGUUAUUAAACUCACAAUCCUCUUUCUAUAGACAUUUUCACGAAACGAGCACUAUAAUGUAGUCUAAACCUAUUUGACCUUGUGUCAAGGGCAUAUUUUUGCUUGUCUGUUGAGUUUUAAUCUCCUAAUAGCAUAUUGCUCAGAUUUCUCCCUCUCUCCUCUUCCCUGUCACUCCAAAACACACAGUCAGUAAAGCUCUAUUGGAGAUAUUUACCUUUACACUGGCUUGGAAUAAUUUUAUCAGGCCUAAACGCAGCAGAAAGAGGAACGUUUUCAUUCCCAUCGUCGUAUCCUUAAACACAGGGUUUUUACAGAGGGGUCGGUUUGCGACGCCUCUGAGCAACAAAGCCAGAAUAACCAUCUUCUGCCUGAUGGUGCUUUUUUGGUCCUCUUAAGAAAAUUAAAUCCAGCAUAAUUUAAGAGCGCAGCCUCUGAGGAGUGAAACUGCUGGAAAUUCUUGGGGCUGAUUUUUGUUAAGAACCUUUAUGCAAACCAUCCCCCCCAUUUUCUUUCUGAAGACAGGAUGAAGGAGAGAAAAAAAAUGCAUGAGUUCUUCAUUUCUCAGAGACAGACAGACAGAGAUUUCAUCAGCUUUUAUUAAGGCUGGAAGCUGUGUUGGACACUAUCUACAUUUUUUUUUAGAGAGAGAAUUCCGAAUUCCAAAGGUCAUAUAUUUUGCAACUAUCCAGAAUAAUACUAAAUCUUUGGUCCUUUCAGUUGUUGUUUUUUUUCCAUAGCAAUUCUAGGUUGGAAAAAAAUAUUUAAGAUACUGGAACGUGUCAAUAGUGUAAACUGGGUUAACAGUAGGAAAGGCUCGAAUUUUAACGAUCAAGCGUACAAGUGAAAAAAGAGGAUGCACCUAAAGAACGGAUAUGAGAACCCAGAUGCGGAGAUCUUGACCAAAAAAAAAAUCUUUGCCUAGCAUGCAGUCGGUCCAACCUCACAACAAAGCAGGAGUAAAAAUUGGAGCAGCCUGGAGGGUGGAGGGCACACAUCUCCUUCAGAAGUGCUUUUGUUCUGGUUCUAUUUUAAACACACACAGGGAUGGACAGAGAAAUACUGCUGUCAGGAAUCUGGUUUCAUGUGCAACGGAUCCAUAAAGAAGAUUAUCGUCAUUUGAAUAGGUAUCUGUCAGGCCAUGUUUGUGAGUACGCUCCGACAGAACGGCAGAUUUAGGAGCUAAUCAGUGUUGGCUGGUUAAAGAUCUGCAGAUGUGGAGAAUUUCCAGUGGAUUGAGUUUAGGGUUCAAAGGUCAGAUUAUUUGGUUUAACCUAUGACGGCAUGAUUAAAGGUUUUGCGCACACUGUUUAAAUAAAACAUUUUGAAAUGUAAGUAGUUUUUAUUGAGACUUGCUUCAAAAGUGUUUGAAUAAGUGAGAAUUUAUACUAGAAGAUAAUAUUCUAACUGCCUUUCUAGAUGUAUUUGAAUGAUGGAACUUUUCUACAUUUCUUCUUAAUCAGUACUUGAAAUGAAAUGCUGAAAGAUUUUGGGAAACUGAAGGAAAAUGCCUGGGAAAUGAGGCGUGUUCAGGAAGCAUCUAUUUGUCUAUAAAAGCCAGUUAAUACAGGGUGAUUUCUUGGAACAUCUUGAAAAUGAACAAGUAAAUUUUAAUUGCUGCACAUUAAUGAUGUUUAAGAGGAUUUGGAUCACUAACAUUCUAUUCCUGUUAGCAAGAAUUACAAAAUUCUAUAUUCAUUUAUUAAAAAAAAAGACCUUUCUGUAUCAAUUGUAUAUGUGAAAAUACAAAUGUUUUAAUUGUUUUAUAUUGAUAUUUGUAUUUUGCAUAUUUUUUAAGGCCCACAGUCUUUUUCAUCUUUUUCCCCCCGACUCUCAUGCGCUCUCUCUCGUUUUUUCAUGCUCUCACUCUCUCUCACACACACACACAAAACACACAAUCAAAGGUCUGACUUGCUGUUGAGUGAAUCAUUUACACAUUCCUAUCGUCUAUGUAUCUAUGUACAUAUAAAUCAUGAAUAAAGCACUGUAUACAGUAGCACCGAGUGUGUAGGUGUGCAUUUGGGUGAUGGCGAUACUGCAGGGUAUGACUCACUUGAAUUCAUUGGAGAAAAUCUGGUUUCUCUGUUCGCUCUAAACACCGCCCUGAACACUGCCGUGUCUUGGAUUCCAUGUCAUUAAAGGAAGUUCCAUUUAAAGGGUGUUUUACAUAUACCAAUGAAAUGCAGCUUGCUUCCUGAGCACGUUCAAUAAGUAUCUACAGUAUCUCAAUCUGAAAAUGUGAAGAAAAUGCUAUCAGUAAUGUUGCUCAUCAAAUCAAUGAAAAAGCAGGUGCCACAAUGCUCAACUGUGCAGCGGCUCACAUGGGAACAAGCGUUUUCUGAUGAUGACACCUUAUGGCAUUUUUGUAAACAUUUUUUGUGUAGCUGAUUAGAGAGAAAGCAUACAUCUAAGUACGCACAUCUAGGGUGUUGUCUACACCUAGCACAAGCAAGUGGAAUUACAUUUGCUUUACAUUUACAUGAACCUCAUUUGGUUGAUCCAUUUAGCCAAAGUGACCUAAUUGAGAAGUUCCUGGUGAGCAGUUGAGGGCUGAAACCCAAGAGUGGCGUCUCAGUGAUGCAGGAAUUUGUACUCAAUAUCUUCAUUGACCAGCAGAUUGAUAGAUCUUCAACAGUAGACCAGUCCUCUAACCUCUGAUCCACCACUGCCAAGAAAUAUGUAUUAUGAGCAAAUUAUUUCCAUGCAGCAAGGAGCUGCACAAAGAAGCAACAUGUCUAGAAAGGCUUGCCAGUAUUUUCAUUGCAAACUCUAUUCAAAUUCAGUAGAUGGCUCUAAAACUACAACCCUUCUUAUUCUUUGUAACACUAUUAUAAAAUUUAGAGGACUGUCUUACUAUUCUAUUUUUUUUGUAGCAAUGUAAGUGCCUUGUAAUUCCUUUUACUGUUUUAAAUGUAGAUAUUUGUGUUUCCUGUAUGGUUAUGUACAUGUACUGGAAUAAAGUACCUUUUAAACUGUU